CAACAAAAUCAUUCAGAACACAUGAUAGUGUUAAACAUCCUGGAUCUUCUACCUUAGGCGGAUGAUUCCUCUUCUAAGGUUGAAUAACAGGAUCCUCUUCUUCAUUAGUGAGUUCAAUUUCAUCUUCAAGAUUGUAUUUAAUUCUUUCAGAGUUAGGAGGGAUCUGUUGAUUUACUGAAGGUAUUACAGUCAUUUGGUUAAAAAUUUCUCUGAACGUCCCAUUACAACUGCUUUUUAUUCUCGUUUCUUCUUCACGUCCACUAGUAUCUAACUCACUGAUCUCUUCUUCUUUCUAACUUUCUUCUUUUUCAUCUUUACUGCUUUUCUGCUCAUUGAAUUCAUCAACACUCAUCAUUUCUUCAUCUUCUUCUUCACUACUUUCAAAGUUAAUUGGUUCCACUUCUGCCUUCCUUUUAUCUCCUUUU
rnacentral:lncRNA from 1 species